rfam:Cuculus canorus isolate BGI_N303 unplaced genomic scaffold scaffold483, whole genome shotgun sequence.
GUCCAAAAUACAGUGAUAUAUUCUUUACCAAGCACAUAUUUGCUUGUUCUGUGUGGAAAACGACUGUUGCUGGGUGAUUUUGAAU